GGUGAACGCUGGCGGCGUGCCUAAUACAUGCAAGUCGAGCGAACAGAUGAGAAGCUUGCUUCUCUGAUGUUGGCGGCGGACGGGUGAGUAACACGUGGGUAACCUACCUAUAAGACUGGGAUAACUCCGGGAAACCGGGGCUAAUACCGGAUAAUAUUUUGAACCGCAUGGUUCAAUAGUGAAAGGCGGUUUCGGCUGUCACUUAUAGAUGGACCCGCGCCGUAUUAGCUAGUUGGUAAGGUAACGGCUUACCAAGGCGACGAUACGUAGCCGACCUGAGAGGGUGAUCGGCCACACUGGAACUGAGACACGGUCCAGACUCCUACGGGAGGCAGCAGUAGGGAAUCUUCCGCAAUGGGCGAAAGCCUGACGGAGCAACGCCGCGUGAGUGAUGAAGGUCUUCGGAUCGUAAAACUCUGUUGUUAGGGAAGAACAAAUUUGUUAGUAACUGAACAAGUCUUGACGGUACCUAACCAGAAAGCCACGGCUAACUACGUGCCAGCAGCCGCGGUAA
rnacentral:rRNA from 1 species